GCUGGUUGUAGUAGUGCACACCUAUAAUCCUAGCUCCCAGAGAAGUUGAGGUUGGUGGAUUUCUUGAGCUUGGGUGUAUGUGGUAAGCUGUGGUAAGCUAUGCCAAUCAUGUGUCCACAUUAAGUUUGGCAUCAAUAUGUUGAGCUUCUGGGAGCAGGGGGCCACUAGGUUGCUUGAGAAGGGGUAAACUGGCCCAGGUCAGAAACUAAGAAGGUCAAAGCCCCAAGGUUAAACUGUAGAAGAAUCAGUCCAUGAGUUGUGGCCCCUGAACUUCCAACCUGGGCAAGAUGGGGGAGAUCCGGUUAUU
rnacentral:SRP_RNA from 1 species